rnacentral:misc_RNA from 1 species
ACUUCGUUGGCUCUUACUAUACUACGAUAUUUUAAUUGAUCGUAGCUAAUUCUGAUUCCAUUGCGAAACGAAAACCGCUCCUUCUCUGUAACAACUGAUUCUACACAAGAGCAAAAGAGCCUUUUUCUUCCUAAGGAUCUAUUCAUUUUUCCAUUAACAGUCGAACCGACCGGAGAGAGAUUGCUUUUAUCACAGACCAGAAAGCCAGGAAUUGCUUCCAUCACAGACCUUCUCUGGUCACCAGCCUCCUCGCCUCUUUUGCAUUAACAUAUUCCCUCGUACCUGACUUCGUUAGACGAUCCUACUUAGGGGCUUGAAAGCAGAAAACAGAGUAAGGAAUAGAUGCUGCUAGGGCUCAUACGAAGAAGCCAACUCGGUAAAGCUAGUUUACGGUUCCUUUUCUUGCUUGACGGUACGCUUUUAACCAAGCCUAAUCCAUAUAAGAAAAGCAAACAACUAUGAAAACAGGGCAAGAAGAUGCAGACGACGGUACGCAAUGAGACUGGAGUACCUGGCAGGGGGCCUAAACAGACAGUAAGGGGGGUGGGUCUAGGAGAAGAGAGAAGAACGAGGGCAAGCAUAAGAAGCAGUCAUUGAAAAAAAUCAGAAAAGAAGGAGCUGAUCCGAUGGAUGAAGAUAAUGAUCAACGGAAACUAUCGGCUAUGAAGCUAGAUGGCAUAGAAGAAGGUUAUGCCAAUAUGGAUGGCUUGCCUGGAAACUAGCCAUGUAUGUACUGGCUUCCGCACUACUACUUGGUCGGAUCAAUCUCACUCUCGAAAUUGGAAAUAAUCAACUCAAAAUGUGAGGGAAGCACUAAGCAUAACAUUUGAAUGAGGGGCCCUCAUCAAAAUGAAUUAAUGAGUUUCUUCGCCCUCCGAAGGACUCGUUUUCAGCUCCUUACUUACCCUUAUAUAUUAAAAAAAAGUCAAAAAAUAAAAUGAUUACACAGCCCACUUCGCUCCGCUGCUUUGCUCGCUCCGACGAUUCUACAUACCGGCCGAAAGAGACUGAGCCCGGGCGAAGCCAAUCACAUUGAGUUGUAGAUUGACAUAGUUAACCUUCAGUGCACUUAUAUAUAAUAUAUAGUCAGAGUUGAAGCUGAGCGUUCACCUUAGCGGCACCUCUGACCUCAGAUGCAUGUGUUAAGCAUAUAACUAGCGAGCGAACCAUACUUCGGAUAUCGGCUCGGAGCAAGGCCAGUCGCUGGAUUAAGACUAACAGGACCAUUCCUUAUGAAAGACCCAGCAAGAGACGUCACUACCUACCUACCUAGGCCUCAGGAUAAGCUCCGGUGUUGAGGCCCGAAGACUGGAAAUUCAACCCUAAUAACAAAGUUUCUCUCCAACCAGUCGAGUUACUACGUUCCUUGCUUCACUUCAGUAAAUUAAUUAACACCGUAUUUGAUUCCAUCUUGUUUUUCUGUGCUAGUUACUAUCUGUAGUAGUGGACUAACUGGGCUGGGCACAACUCAUUUGAAAAGGAAUGUCAAAGCAUUGCGGAUUCUUCCUUCGACGUCUUAUUGCCCUUGAUCUUAAAAGAGCUUACUUACCUAUACCUUUUAUAUCUUCCGCUCUCACGGAUAUUCGCCAGCUUUGUGCCUCUGGUGGCCCUUGACUGACCCGUCUCGUAUCGUUUAGAUAGUAAGUCCAUGGGUUCUA